CUCUGUGACUCCUACGGGAGGCAGCAGUGGGGAAUAUUGCACAAUGGGGGAAGCCCUGAUGCAGCCAUGCCGCGUGUGUGAAGAAGGCCUUCGGGUUGUAAAGCACUUUCAGUAGGGAGGAAGGUAGUGUAGUUAACACCUGCACUAUUUGACGUUACCUACAGAAGAAGCACCGGCUAACUCCGUGCCAGCAGCCGCGGUAAUACGGAGGGUGCGAGCGUUAAUCGGAAUUACUGGGCGUAAAGCGCAUGCAGGCGGCCUGUUAAGUCAGAUGUGAAAGCCCGGGGCUUAACCUCGGAAUUGCAUUUGAAACUGGCAGGCUAGAGUCUUGUAGAGGGGGUAGAAUUUCAGGUGUAGCGGUGAAAUGCGUAGAGAUCUGAAGGAAUACCAGUGGCGAAGGCGGCCCCCUGGACAAAGACUGACGCUCAGAUGCGAAAGCGUGGGGAGCAAACAGGAUUAGAUACCCUGGUAG
rnacentral:rRNA from 1 species